rnacentral:rRNA from 1 species
AUUGAACGCUGGCGGCAUGCUUUACACAUGCAAGUCGAACGGUAACAGGCCGCAAGGUGCUGACGAGUGGCGAACGGGUGAGUAAUGCAUCGGAACGUGCCCAGUCGUGGGGGAUAACGCAGCGAAAGCUGCGCUAAUACCGCAUACGAUCUAUGGAUGAAAGCGGGGGACCGUAAGGCCUCGCGCGAUUGGAGCGGCCGAUGUCAGAUUAGGUAGUUGGUGGGGUACAGGCUCAACAAGCCAACGAUCUGUAGCUGGUAUGAGAGGACGACCAGCCAAACUGGGAAUGAGACACGGCCCAGACUCCUACGGGAGGCAGCAGUGGGGAAUUUUGGACAAUGGGCGCAAGCCUGAUCCAGCAAUGCCGCGUGCAGGAAGAAGGCCUUCGGGUUGUAAACUGCUUUUGUACGGAACGAAACGGCUCUGGUUAAUACCCGGAGCUAAUGACGGUACCGUAAGAAUAAGCACCGGCUAACUACGUGCCAGCAGCCGCAGUAAAAC